CGCAGGGUGCGAGCGUUAAUCGGAAUUACUGGGCGUAAAGCGUGCGCAGGCGGUUUUGCAAGCCAGAUGUGAAAUCCCCGGGCUUAACCUGGGAAUGGCAUUUGGGACUGCAAGGCUUGAGUGCGGCAGAGGAGACUGGAAUUCCUGGUGUAGCAGUGAAAUGCGUAGAUAUCAGGAGGAAUACCGAUGGCGAAGGCAGGUCUCUGGGCUGACACUGACGCUCAUGCACGAAAGCGUGGGGAGCAAACAGGAUUAGAUACCCUGGUAGUCCACGCCCUAAACGAUGUCGACUGGUUGUUGGGGGUUUGACACUCUCAGUAACGAAGCUAACGCGUGAAGUCGACCGCCUGGGGAGUACGGCCGCAAGGUUA
rnacentral:rRNA from 1 species